GGCUGGGAAGAGGAAGUGGGCUGCUAUGAGAAAUAAUAAGUCUUCUGAAGAGCCCGCCCAGCGCCAGCUACCGCUCAGUCUUCUGCGCUCUACAGCUUCCACUUCUCUCUCCCGGCACACAGUCUGGGGAGCGAAAAUACAACCGUGAUGGAAUGGAUGAUCACUCUUGUAGUGUGCUUCUCAGGCUUGCAGUCGUCCCAAGCCUUUAACGUGGAAUCCCCAGCCUGGCAAACGUUGACAACAAAUUCUGGCGAUCCUUCUGGAUGGUUUGGAUACAAGGUCGUCCAGACAGGAUCUGGCUUACUGGUGAGCGAGCCACUGUUGCAGACAUCCCCAACCGAAAGAGGCAGAAUCUACAAAUGCACUACUAACAAUUGUCAACCCAUCCCUCUCUCAGUUCCAGUGUUCGCCGUCAAUAUGUCUCUUGGUUUGACGUUGACGAAGGACCCAGCCUCUGAAAAUACUUUGGCAUGCGGUCCAACCCUUACAAGAGAAUGCAGGACUAUCAACACAUACAACGGAUUAUGCUUGAAGAUAAACUCUCAAAAUAGAGCUGAAUUGCAAAGACCAUCAAUUCUAAAGGAUUGUCCUGGCCUUUCGGACAUCGCCUUUCUGAUCGACGGCUCUGGCAGCGUAGCUGUUCGGGACUUCAACGCCACGAAGGUCUUUGUCACGCGUUUGGUCAGCUCCUUACGCAAUGGAGACACACGGUUCGCCAUCACCGAGUACUCAGGAACUCCUAUAACUUAUUAUCAUUUUUGAU